GCCAGGAGGUAUUCUGAAAUUCACACGACUCCUUUGUUCUGUAAACUUGCAUAUUUGUACAGCUGAGCAAAAUUUGGGCACUACCUCUCUCAUGGAAAAUUAUGUUCUUGCUCCUAUCUCCCAACCAAGCAUGAACCAGACAGAGUUCUAAAAGGUUUCAUAGAGGCUUUCUAGAUUGAUAUAUUCACAGAGCCUUGUAGACAUCCUUAAGUGUUAAUGAAAUGUUCUCUCAGGUUUAGCUGUAUUGCGUUACCACCCUAAAGAUGAAGGAAUCCUCAAACUACCAGUGGGGAACAUGCUGUCUUCUGUAUUCAUCUACUUCAGAGAGAAUGAUUUUUUUCCCCUUUCUAAUCACAGGCAUAGGUGAAGACAGGCUGCUCAGACUAACACGAAGACAAAGCAUCUAUGUCAAAGCAGUAAUCAUAUGUGUCCUGCUACCCUGUGCAUUAGCCUUCAUCGUGUUUGUUAUAUUUGAAGUUCCCUUCCCAUGUCCAUGCCCUGGCUGGAGCCAGCAAUGCAACUGUAUUCAGAAAUGUAAAAGACAAGGAGAAGAACGCACAGAAAACCCAAAUUCUGUAUCAUCCGAAGGAUCUGUCACGAGAAGCAAGAACAUCAGCAUUUUACACGAUAUAGAGUCAAACAAUUACAGAUUGCAAUGAAAGUGACAUUAGCCUNUGUUCUAAUACCACCACAGGAACCUACUCACUGUGUGAUCUGAGACAAGUUACUUAACUUCAAUGAGUGGCCAUUUAUUUCUCUAUGACAUAGUUGUAAUACUCACCUCCCAACGAUACUGUGAGAUUUAGUGUUUGUAAAGUGAUUUGAGAUCUUUGGAGGAAAAACCCUAUACUGUCAAAUAAACUAUUUAGAAGAAAGGACA
rnacentral:lncRNA from 1 species